rnacentral:rRNA from 1 species
UACGGAGGGUGCAAGCGUUGCUCGGAAUUAUUGGGCGUAAAGGGUAGGUAGGUGGUCUCAUUUGUCUGGGGUGAAAGCCUUGAGCUUAACUCAAGAAGUGCCCCAGAAACGGUGAGACUAGAGUCUUGGAGAGGGUCGUGGAAUUCCCGGUGUAGCGGUGAAAUGUGUAGAGAUCGGGAGGAACACCGGUGGCGAAGGCGGGUCUCUGGGCAAUUCCUGACGCUGAGGCGCGAAAGCGUGGGGAGCAAACGGG